rnacentral:tRNA from 1 species
AUUUAAAUAGCUUAUAAAUUAGAGCAUAGUAUUGAAGAUACUAAGGAGAUUUUAUUAUCUUUAAAUA